rnacentral:lncRNA from 1 species
UAGAGGCUAAAUAAAAGUGUUCCUUCUACCCUAAACCAUGUUGGUUUUUUUUCUAUAGAAAAAACAGCUCCAAAGAAGCAGCUGAAAGAGCGCAAAGAAAAAGCAACUCACACACCAAAAGUAAUGAAAGAUUUUGAUGAAGUGCCAUCUUCAAAGAAAGCCAAAGAGGAAACUGAAGACAUGACUUCCAUGAGGAAAGAAAAAACUCCCAUCAGUUU